rnacentral:rRNA from 1 species
UACAGAGGUGGCAAGCGUUGUUCGGAAUUACUGGGCGUAAAGGGCGAGUAGGUGGCCAUCUAAGUCAGACGUGAAAUCCCCCGGCUUAACCUGGGAACUGCGUCUGAUACUGGACGGCUUGAGUAUGGGAGAGGAAUGUAGAAUUCCAGGUGUAGCGGUGAAAUGCGUAGAUAUCUGGAGGAACACCGGUGGCGAAGGCGGCAUCCUGGACCGGUAUUGACGCUGAGGCGCGAAAGCUAGGGGAGCAAACGGG